rnacentral:rRNA from 1 species
UGAUAAGUUGUUGCUGGCUCUCUAGGGAGUAUUGUGCACGCUUAUCAUCUUUAUCAUCUUUCACCUGUGCACCUUUUGUAGACUUUGGAUAGUCAGUUAUGAAGAUUGACUUUUUCUUGUCUUUCUUUAUAUUUCCAGGUCUACGUUUCUUCAUAUACCCCAAUGUAUGUUUAGAAUGUAAUCAAUGUGGGUCUUUUGUGCCCCAUAGUUUCUUUAUACAACUUUCAGCAACGGAUCUCUUGGCUCUCGCAUCGAUGAAGAACGCAGCGAAAUGCGAUAAGUAAUGUGAAUUGCAGAAUUCAGUGAAUCAUCGAAUCUUUGAACGCACCUUGCACUCCUUGGUAUUCCGAGGAGUAUGCCUGUUUGAGUGUCAUUAAUAUAUAUCAACCUAGUGUUGGAUUUGAGGGUUGCUGGACUCCUUUGGAGGUCAGCUCCUUUGAAAUAUAUUAGCAGAAACAAUUUGUUGACCUGUUCAAUUGGUGUGAUAGAUUUAUCUACACUUAUCGACAUGAAGCAAGUUCUGCUUAUAACUAAACUAUC